rnacentral:rRNA from 1 species
GACGAACGCUGGCGGCGUGCUUAACACAUGCAAGUCGAACGAAGAGCGACGGAAGCUUGCUUCUAUCAAUCUUAGUGGCGCACGGGUGAGUAACGCGUAAUCAACCUGCCCUUCAGAGGGGGACAACAGUUGGAAACGACUGCUAAUACCGCAUACGAUCUAACCUCGGCAUCGAGGAUAGAUGAAAGGUGGCCUCUACAUGUAAGCUAUCACUGAAGGAGGGGAUUGCGUCUGAUUAGCUAGUUGGAGGGGUAACGGCCCACCAAGGCGAUGAUCAGUAGCCGGUCUGAGAGGAUGAACGGCCACAUUGGGACUGAGACACGGCCCAGACUCCUACGGGAGGCAGCAGUGGGGAAUCUUCCGCAAUGGACGAAAGUCUGACGGAGCAACGCCGCGUGAGUGAUGACGGCCUUCGGGUUGUAAAGCUCUGUUAAUCGGGACGAAAGGCCUUCUUGCGAAUAGUGAGAAGGAUUGACGGUACCGGAAUAGAAAGCCACGGCUAACUACGUG